AACGAACGCUGGCGGCAGGCCUAACACAUGCAAGUCGAGCGGACCCUUCGGGGUUAGCGGCGGACGGGUGAGUAACGCGUGGGAAUAUGCCCUUCUCUACGGAAUAGUCCUGGGAAACUGGGGGUAAUACCGGAUAAGCCCUUUGGGGGAAAGAUUUAUCGGGGAAGGAUUAGCCCGCGUUGGAUUAGGUAGUUGGUGGGGUAAUGGCCUACCAAGGCGACGAUCCAUAGCUGGGUUGAGAGGAUGAGCAGCCACACUGGGACUGAGACACGGUCCAGAAUCCUACGGGAGGCAGCAGUGGGGGAUCUUGGACAAUGGGGGCAGUGCUGAACGAGCCAUGCCGCGUGAGUGAUGAAGGCCUGAGGGUUGUAAAGCUCUUUAAGCUGGGAAGAUAAUGACGGUACCAGCAGAAGAAGCCCCGGCUAACUCCGUG
rnacentral:rRNA from 1 species